GGGAGGUCCUUGAUUUAAUUAUUUUAAAUGGGCUGCCCAAUUAUUGAUUUAAUUGGAUUGUGGAGAGUUGUUUUAAAAAAAAAAAAAAGCUACACUAUUAUAAUUAAUUAGACUUAUUAGGUUUGAUUAAUUAUUUUAAUUUUCAUAAUAAUAUUAAAUUAUUAUUAUUAUGUGCAUAUUUUAAGUAAUUUCUUAUUAUAUGCCAAGCAUGACAUGAAUUUGCAUUAUAUUUUUGCAAUAAGAGUAUUUAAGAUUUAAUUGGUUUUAUUUAUAAUUCCAAUUAUUAAAGAAAGAUGAGUAAGAAUAUUGUUGGUGUUCUUAACUCAAGAGAAAUGUUUUCAAUUAUUUAUUCAUUAAAUUUUGAAAACCGACUAAGUGAAUCAUAGAAUGUUAAGCACUACACCAUGGCUUAAGAUUAGAUUCAAGGAGACCUAUUAAGAAUAGAAUUUCUUGUAGGCUUUGUGACCAGGGGGACUAGCGCUGCUUUCCCAAGACAGGUUUUUAUGUGUAUGAUCUUCAGGCUUUGCCUAUCCAGGUUGAGCAGCUGAUGGAAUGGAAUGAUGUUGAGCGGGUGUUCUUUUGACAUUUCAAGAAAUGUAACCUUGAGUAUACAUCUUCAUAUGUAUAUCUCACACGUUUUUCCGCUGCAAAACACUUUGAUUAGAAUAACUCUAUGUUAUGAAGUUGUGACACGUGUUAUUGGAUAACCCACCUUAAUCAGUUCUCCUUCAUGUGUAUGUUUUAUAAGUAUCCAAAUGAUCAUA